GAUAGCUCAGUUGGUAGAGCAAUCGGCUGUUAACCGAUCGGUCGUAGGUUCGAGUCCUACU
rnacentral:tRNA from 6 species